GAUCGCUGUGAGUUGGAGACCAGCAUGGGCUACACGAUUUCCCCACGAAAUACAACAUGAAAACCGUCUCAAAUUGGACGCAUAUCAAUAUCGCACAAAGGGUUACAGAAUCACAGUUGAGGACGCAAAGAUCAUGAGGGCAAAACCGAAUGAAGAUACGUCUUUCUCUGUUCAGGUACCUCGACACAGGUGAAGCCAGUCUCAGAAGGCCACUAAGUCUAGUCUCGCAACCCCAGAAGGGUGAAGAGCUAUUCACUGAGCAGCUAAACACGUUGCAGCAACAACCAUGUGUCCUGCCAGGGUCUGUCAGGGCCCAGACCCACAAGGAGACUCUACCACAACAGAUGUCCUCCGACUACUGAUGUGGGGCCUGUGCGAGUUAUCACAGAUCAGCAGUUUUCAUGCAGAAAAACGUACUACAAACCUACGUACCUCUCACAAAUACUGAAAUAUCCUGUUGGGAAGCGGUGUUGCCAGCAGUACUGGUCGUCUUCGGUGUGGAAAACCUUCUCCUUGUGCUUCUCUGAAGAGAUGUGGCCCUGCCACUGCUUCUCACUGUUACAGUUCUUCCCGCACAUCCAGCAGUGAAAAUCCACCUGUGUGUGGCGCAGAUGUGGCCCGUCAGUGGUGGUGUGAGCGCCCUGUCACUGUGAGGGCACCUGAAGGUCCAGAUGCCACCGGCUCUGAGAACCAGACUCUCUCUGUUCUCAGGGAGCCAGGCAAGGACAUAAA